CCCUUCAUCCUAAGGCUGGUGACAAAUGGUGUAUCUAUGAUUAUGCCCACUGUACUGUUGAUUCACUUGAUAAUAUAAUGCAUCCGAUACGCUUUCUCAAUUAAGUAAAUCAAUGUUGUCUUCGCUGAGGACAUUGAAACAGCUCGUGAGAGUCAGGCAGAAUAUGACCCUAAGAAAAAGUCAAGCCAAAGGGGUUCUACACUGGGUAGCUGAAUCUUCCCCAUAUAAGUUGAAGUUUGGAUGUUUGAGAACUCUUUAAGUCCGAGGUACGCAUAUUGUUCUCUAGAUUUUGUUUCAGUUACAAAAAUUGUUUCAUUAAGCUAACUUGCUGAACUCAAUGAUGAGGGAUGAUUGCCUCACGUCCCUACUGAACUCAAUGAUGGUUGGUAGUUUAUGGUGCUUUUGCUGUAUCAACCCUUAAAGACGAUGCGGCCAGGGACAUAUCCAAUUAGAGACUAGGUAUUUCAAGUUUCAAGAUCAUAAAAAAAGUUUGCCUUUCUAGAUGAGCACAUAGUGUGUUUUUAUUGUUUUGUUCUCUAUGUUUCAAUGCUGGUGUAUUAUAAGGUCUCUUACUCUCUUUUCUUUAUAAUGUUCUGCAUCUUAAAUAUCUAUUUUAUUCUAUAUAAUGAAUGCAUCUUAGAGUCUCUUGUAGAUAUUUGUUGUGAUAUAUAUGUGCUUCUAUAGAUUAUGAUUGUAGUUCCUUAAAUUAUGAAAGUAUUUGUUUUGUGUUAUGCUCUAAACCUUUGGUGAUUGUUUUAAACAUGUGAUCCUAGAAUUUUGUACCACACUUUGAGAAAAGGUUUGAGUGUAUAAUAUAUACAUUGUGUGUUUUAAGUAUUGGAACAUUACAUCGUGUGCUUAAUAAAAUACUUAGUAUCUCUGUUUUGGUGAUUGAAUGUGUAAGAAAUAUUUUCAUUUUGUGAAAUAGAUGCAUCUUGAGGUCUCCUGUAGACACAUAUUUUUAAAUGUAUGUGGUAGUACUGCACAUUCUGGUAAUAAUAUUAUUGAAUCUCGAAUGUAUUUGUUUUGGGUUAUGUUCUAACAUGUGAAGUGACAUUCUUAAAUUUUGGAUUAUACACUGAUUACUAUGUUAGAUUUUACCACUUGUACUUAUUGGCUUGAUUUUUUUACAAUGUAAUGAUUGUAAUAUCUCUGUUAUUGCACUAGUACUAUCAAUCUGUUGGUCUCUUCUUCUUACAAAAUCGAUGGAACUUGGAACUCUAUUGGAUCACACAGGUUAUUUAGUUGGAGUAUGCAAUGAAUAUCUCUUGUUUUAUAUAUCAUAGAAUCUUUUGUUUUAUGAAAU